CUACGGGUCGCUGCAGUGGGGAAUAUUGGACAAUGGGGGAAACCCUGAUCCAGCAAUGCCGCGUGUGUGAAGAAGGCCUGCGGGUUGUAAAGCACUUUCGGUUGGGAGGACUGCUUCUAGCACUAAUAUUGUUGGAAGUUGACGUUACCUUCAGAAGAAGCACCGGCUAACUCCGUGCCAGCACCCGCGGUAAUACGGAGGGUGCAAGCGUUAAUCGGAAGUACUGGGCGUAAAGCGCGCGUAGGCGGCUAGAUCAGUCGGGUGUGAAAGCCCCGGGCUUAACCUGGGAACUGCAUCCGAUACUGGCUAGCUUGAGUACAGGAGAGGAGAGUGGAAUUCCACAUGUAGCGGUGAAAUGCGUAGAUAUGUGGAGGAACACCAAUGGCGAAGGCAGCUCUCUGGCCUGAUACUGACGCUGAGGUGCGAAAGCGUGGGGAGCAAACAGGAUUAGAUACCCGGGUAGUC
rnacentral:rRNA from 1 species